UACGUAGGUGGCAAGCGUUGUCCGGAUUUACUGGGCGUAAAGGGAGCGUAGGCGGACUUUUAAGUGGGAUGUGAAAUACCCGGGCUUAACCUGGGUGCUGCAUUCCAAAACUGGGAGUCUAGAGUGCAGGAGGGGAAAGUGGAAUUCCUAGUGUAGCGGUGAAAUGCGUAGAGAUUAGGAAGAACACCGGUGGCGAAGGCGACUUUCUGGACUGUAACUGACGCUGAGGCUCGAAAGCGUGGGGAGCGAACAGG
rnacentral:rRNA from 1 species